AAACGUGUCUUAGAUUUAUAUCAUCUUGCUUGAACAAUAUAAUAAGAUUAGCAUUAUCUCUUACAAGUUGCUUAGGUAUUUUAGUAUAAGUUUGAUUCAUAUAAAAACAAUCAAUGUUUUUAUGCCGACCCAUGGCAAAAUAAUCGCGUAUAUUGUUUUGAUUUUCACAAGCAACAUCGUCAAAUAUGAUAAUCGAGUCAGGCAAUGCUUCGUGAGGACUCAAAAUUUCACUAUUAUGAUUAUACUUGUUAUAAGAUGUGCCUGCCACCUUGUCCAAUACUUUUUCUAAAAAUACGUACUUUGGUUGGUUUAAAGACUUAGAGUACACAUACAGGUUACAAAAACGUGGUCCAUUCUUAUGUAACAAUAAACUGAUAACUAAAUUUGUCUUUCCACAGUUCGAUGAACCACACACGAUACUACGUAUAGUAUUUGGCAAUAAUUUCCCGUGACGCUUAGGCUCGUUUGAUGCUUCAGGACAGACGCAUUCCAAUUUAAGUGAUUCUUUUUGUUUCAGAAAUUUCAUAACAGAAUUUUUAAGUCGACUGUCGUGAUCUGUGGAUUUCAAAGAACUGAUGAAAUAUACUCACGCCGACGGUUAAAAAAUGUAGUUCGAAAAAGGCUACAAGCAUGGGUUGUUUACGUUCGUGUUAUUGGGCGAUUAGAUCCUAAUUCACUUUUUUGUUAUAAUUGGUCGUUCUAAUUAACUUUCUUCGAAAGAGCGGACGAAGGAAGCGAAUGAGAAGAAAGUGAAUUAGAACGAACAAUUAUAAC